UGACGUUGCAUUGGUUUCUUUGAUGAGAUGAUGUGGUCGGCUCCUUAUGCUUGACUUCAUCCUGGUUGGCGUGCUUCCAUUGGUUGGAGUGGUGGUGAGGUGGCCAGCUGAUGUUGAUGUGGAUGCCGAGGUGGUGCUCCAAGGGUGUGCAAAGGUGGUGGUAGAAACAUGCAACAUGUCCUGACUUGGCUUGCUUUCUGACUUAUUGAGGCUUGCUUUCUGACUUAUUGAAUUUAUUUACAGGACUCGAUCAAAGCCACAGUGACCUUGAGUUAAUUGAUUGGAGUCUUUUCUGGAUUCUGGUGCCCGCACCAAGAACCAA
rnacentral:lncRNA from 1 species